GGUCCAGUCCCGUGCGGCGAAAACCCCCGAACUCCGCCAGGCCCGGAAGGGAGCAACGGUAGGGGAUCUUUUCGGGUGCCACGGGGAUUCUGGGCCUCC
rnacentral:SRP_RNA from 2 species